GACGAACGCUGGCGGCGUGCCUAAUACAUGCAAGUAGAACGCUGAAGCGAGGAGCUUGCUCUUCUUGGAUGAGUUGCGAACGGGUGAGUAACGCGUAGGUAACCUGCCUGGUAGCGGGGGAUAACUAUUGGAAACGAUAGCUAAUACCGCAUAAAAUGGAUUAUCGCAUGAUAAUCCAUUGAAAGGUGCAAAUGCAUCACUACCAGAUGGACCUGCGUUGUAUUAGCUAGUUGGUGGGGUAACGGCUCACCAAGGCGACGAUACAUAGCCGACCUGAGAGGGUGAUCGGGCACACUGGGACUGAGGCACGGCCCAGACUCCUACGGGAGGCAGCAGGAGGGAAUCUUCGGCAAUGGACGGAAGUCUGACCGAGGAACGCCGCGGGAGGGAAGAAGGGUUUCGGAUCGUAAAGCUCUGUUGUAAGAGAAGAACGAGUGUGAGAGUGGAAAGUUCACACUGUGACGGUAUCUUACCAGAAAGGGACGGCUAACUACGUG
rnacentral:rRNA from 1 species